UUAAUCUAUUUUUCAGGUGUA
rnacentral:siRNA from 1 species